rnacentral:sRNA from 1 species
AAAUAACACCUCCAGAGAUGAAUAAUCCUCUAAACCAUCGAAGCUAUCCACAUCCCAUUCAAGCACCUUUAAGUAAUCUAUUCCUCCACCCUCACGCUCCUCGAUUUUGGCUUUCCCUUCUUCUCUCUCACCAUCGCUCUCUUCCUCCUCCUCCUCCGGGUCGAAUUCGGCCUUACGCUUUGUCCCGUAAGAUGAUAACCAUGGAAGAAGAUCCUUCCAUGGAAUUUUCUAUCAUCGUCUCUUCUGCGCAUUGAUUGAGAAGCAUCUUGAUCGAGUAAAACCCUAGAUCCCCUCCGAGCCAAUUAUCUUAAGAUUCUCGUCCACGAUCGCGUAAACCCUUUUAAUUUGGUCAAACGGUUCGAUUCGGGUCAGAACUACCAAAUUUUGGGUUGGAGAAAACUGUUCCGAAUUGAACCGAAAUAAAGUCAGGGUUCAUUUUGGUACUGAAUAAACCGAACUCUUUUGUUAAAUCAACAAUUUUAGACAAAAGACCAGUUUUGGAGUAAUGGGCCAUUGAUGCAUCGUUGGCCCAGUAAAAAUCCUGACUUUUGAUCUGGGAAUUUUUCUCAAAAUUUAAUUCUGCUUCAAAUGGGGGAACAUCAUUUACCUCAACUCGCUCUAGGGUUCAAUUAUUUAGGAUUUUAAUCUGUUUGACCCCUUUUGGUUGAAUCAAUUUUUGAAACCCCCCCCCCCCACUUAUUCUCACUACCCCUCCCCUUCCCAACAUAUUUGAAAUACAAAUUUACCCUUUUCCUUUGUCCCUUUCAAUUUUCUAUUUAGUUUUUGCUACCAAACAAACUAUUAAAAUCUACCAAUCAUAUUCAUUCUCUCUCCUUUUUCAUUAACCACCUAAACCUACAAAAACCUAUAAAAACGGUGGACAACUGAAACCAAUAGGUACAAGUAUGUUGACGGACUUCUACGAAGAUAUAUAAUUACAUACCGUUUUCUUUUUAUUUU